UACGUAGGUGGCAAGCGUUAUCCGGAAUUAUUGGGCGUAAAGAGCGCGCAGGUGGUUGAUUAAGUCUGAUGUGAAAGCCCACGGCUUAACCGUGGAGGGUCAUUGGAAACUGGUCGACUUGAGUGCAGAAGAGGGAAGUGGAAUUCCAUGUGUAGCGGUGAAAUGCGUAGAGAUAUGGAGGAACACCAGUGGCGAAGGCGGCUAUCUGGACAGUAACUGACGCUGAGGCGCGAAAGCGUGGGGAGCAAACAGGGAUUAGAUA
rnacentral:rRNA from 1 species